rnacentral:sRNA from 1 species
UUCUACUUGCCGAUCUUCACCAAGAACUUU